rnacentral:misc_RNA from 1 species
GAUGAAGAACGCAGUGAAAUGCGAUAAGUAAUGUGAAUUGCAGAAUUCAGUGAAUCAUCGAAUCUUUGAACGCACAUUGCGCCCCCUGGUAUUCCGGGGGGCAUGCCUGUUCGAGCGUCAUUUCACCACUCAAGCCUCGCUUGGUAUUGGGCAACGCGGUCCGCCGCGUGCCUCAAAUCGACCGGCUGGGUCUUCUGUCCCCUAAGCGUUGUGGAAACUUUCGCUAAAGGGUGUUCGGGAGGCUACGCCGUAAACAACCCCAUUUCUAAGGUUGACCUCGGAUCAGGUAGGGAUACCCGCUGAACUUAAGCAUAUCAAUAAGCGGAGGA